AUCAAAAUGCCUAGCAACUUUUUCUAUGGAUAUAAGGCUUUAAUUGAUAGAGAUAGAGGAAGCACCGUAAAGAUCGAUUAUCUGAUCUUCAUAAUGGAUUAAACUAAAGGAUCAACUCAGAUGAAGAUCCGCAAAUCUGAAUAGCUGCAGUUGAGAAAAUGAUAAGCAAAACAAAUUGCUAAGUGCAAAGAACCUACAUGGGAGGAGAUCAUGAAAGUAAGACACAUAAAUUGUAACGAAGGGAGUACAUGACAUGUUCUUAACAAUACCAAAAAGAAAGAAAGAAAGACGAAACACUACAGCUACUUCGCACUUCCACUACGUAUCACCUCCUCAACAGUAACAUUUCAACAACAGCAACAUCCAUACAGCAAUGCUAACUUUUAUCCUGGUGUGGUUAGCAUUCUUUCUUGUACCAUGAUUGGGAGGCUCCUCAAGUCAGUAACUUUUUUCCAUUUAUGACAUCGAAUUGAUAGUCACCACUUUUGUAAAAUGCUUCAUCCUUCACAAACUCACUAAGAGACGGUGAAAGAACUUAAGAUUGGUUUGUCAGUCCGGAAAUGGAUGCAAAGAAUAAAAAUGAUGAUGCUUAAAUACCUUGAACACGCUAAGAAUCGUUGGACUGGUGACAUUUCAUGUGUAACAUAAAUACUUUGAACAUGCUAAGGACUGUUGGACUGGAGGCGUUUCAUGUGACACAUAUGUGUAAUGGUGGUUUGAUGUAGCCUGCAAUGUAUACAACAACAACAACAACAACAACUACUACCCAGUAGCCUGCAAUGUAUACGAUCAAAAAAAUGUGUGAAUCCUCUGUCAUGUAUACUUCUCUUCUAAUCUCAAGAAUUUGCAAUAAUGAUAUGAGAAGAAUUUAUCUUACCAUGAUGUUUAAGCAUCAAAAUCUAAAUGAACACCUUCCAUACAGGCAGCUACUUAGCGAUGGCUGGGCUAUGGAUCUCCUUCAUUACAUACAACUUGACAGCUGCAUAGUGCGCUAGCCAACUUCUGACAUUUAAAAGAAGGUUAGUAAAAAGGCUGGUUGGUAUUUGUUGUCAAAUAACUGUCCUUCAUCACCUCUCUCCUGCUGUAUAACACUUUCUGUCUACUUUUGUUCUCCUUUUCCAAUAUUGGAUAAUUAUGUGAAUAUCAAGGAAAAGAAGUUACCUGAUUUUCUGACUAUAACAAUUUUGCAACUGUUAACUUCCUUCAAAUAUCAACCG
rnacentral:lncRNA from 1 species